AGGGCAGCAGUCCAGUCAGAUGCUUUCAGGAAGACCACCCUGAAUUCCAAACCCCAGAGUCCACUCCCCAGAGCAGGAGCCCGGGUGGCCGAAGAACAGAGAAAUAAGCCUCCACUGAUCCAUGUCAAGAGCUUAAAAGGGUGCAAUUAGGCCAAAGGUAGGAAAACUGGAUUUUAUAAGACCAGGCAAGAGAAGAGAGUGGCCUAGGGCAAGAACAGAAAUAAUCACUGGACAAAAACCAGAUUAACCUCUUUCCUGAGCACAGAAAAUGAUUUUUAAAAACUUUAUAUAAAUAAAUAAAAUG